rnacentral:rRNA from 1 species
GCAAGAUUAAAACUCAAAGGAAUAGACGGGGACCCGCACAAGUGGUGGAGCAUGUGGUUUAAUUCGAAGAUACGCGAAGAACCUUACUUAGCCUUGACAUUGAUAGAAUCUUCCAGAGAUGGAGGAGUGCCUUUCGGGGAACUUGAAAACAGGUGCUGCACGGCUGUCGUCAGCUCGUGUCGUGAGAUGUUGGGUUAAGUCCCGCAACGAGCGCAACCCUCGUCACUAGUUACUAACAGUUAGGCUGAGGACUCUAGUGAGACUGCCUUCGUAAGGAGGAGGAAGGUGAGGACGACGUCAAGUCAUCAUGGCCCUUACGGCUAGGGCAACACACGUGCUACAAUGGUUAGGACAGUGAGAAGCGAUACCGCGAGGUGGAGCCAAUCUAUAAACCUAAUCUCAGUUCGGAUUGUAGUCUGCAACUCGACUACAUGAAGCUGGAAUCACUAGUAAUCGUAGAUCAGCUAUGCUACGGUGAAUACGUUCCCGGGUCUUGUACUCACCGCCCGUCACACCAUGGGAGUUGAUUUCACCCGAAGCGGGGAAGCUAAACUGGCUACCCUCCACGGUGGAAUUAGCGACUGGGGUGAAGUCGUAACAAGGUA